CCCAGAGCGGCAGGAGAGAGCAGUGUCUCCUGGACCCACCUGUGUCUCCCUGAAGAGUGACUACUCUAUGGAUCCACCUGUCACAUUUAAAGAUGGAAAUCAAUCUAUUGAGAAGAGGUGAGUAUUUAUCAGAGAUUACAAAAAUACAGCUUCUAUCAAACCUCCUUAAAUCCUCCUGGUUCUUUAUUUUCUAGAAGACUCCAGCAGGAGAGAGCACACUCCCCUGGAACCAGCUGUGUCUUUCCGAAGAGUGAACGCUCUAUGGAUAGACCUCCUGAAUUGAAAGAUGGACACCCCUCCAGAAAGAAGAGACAACACCAGAAGAGGUCAAAGGUUACUAGUGCUCAAUCUGUACAGCAGCAUCAAACAGAGCUGAUCAAGAGGGCUGAGGAGAAUGCACACGCUUUUCUAGACAAAGAGCUGAAGAAGCUCUGGAGGGUUCUCUACCCCGAUUACCCACAAUGCGAG